rnacentral:rRNA from 1 species
GCGAAAGCGGGGCAACCCGCAAGUAGAGUGGCGAACGGGUGAGUAAUACAUCGGAACAUAUCCAGUAGCGGGGGAUAACCUGUCGAAAGAUAGGCUAAUACCGCAUACGAUCUACGGAUGAAAGCGGGGGACCGCAAGGCCUCGCACUAUUGGAGUGGCCGAUGUCAGAUUAGCUAGUUGGUGGGGUAAAAGCCUACCAAGGCGACGAUCCGUAGCUGGUCUGAGAGGACGAUCAGCCACACUGGAACUGAGACACGGUCCAGACUCCUACGGGAGGCAGCAGUGGGGAAUUUUGGACAAUGGGCGCAAGCCUGAUCCAGCCAUGCCGCGUGAGUGAAGAAGGCCUUCGGGUUGUAAAGCUCUUUCGGUGGAGACGAAACGGUUCGUGUUAAUAACACGGACUACUGACGGUACCCACAGAAGAAGCACCGGCUAACUACGUGCCAGCAGCCGCGGUAAUACGUAGGGUGCAGGCGUUAAUCGGAAUUACUGGGCGUAAAGCGUGCGCAGGCGGUCUGUUAAGACAGGUGUGAAAUCCCCGAGCUCAACUUGGGAAUUGCGCUUGUUACUGGCAGGCUAGAGUGUAGCAGAGGGGGGUGGAAUUCCACGUGUAGCAGUGAAAUGCGUAGAUAUGUGGAGGAACACCGAUGGCGAAGGCAGCCCCCUGGGUUAACACUGACGCUCAGGCACGAAAGCGUGGGGAGCAAACAGGAUUAGAUACCCUGGUAGUCCACGCCCUAAACUAUGUCAACUAGUUGUCGGGGAAGAAAUUCCUUGGUAACGAAGCUAACGCGUGAAGUU